UAUUUCCAAAAUUAUUUCAACAUGUGAUCAGCAAGCGAGAUUACAAGCGAGAUGCUUCAUGGUUGCUUUUUUAUAGCAAGUCCUUUCAGUCCAGUGUGCAUCUGCACGCUAGCACGCCUCAGUCCGGGCUGGACACAGCUCAGCGGCCACCGGCAGCCCAGCCGGGACUGCACGCUGCUGGCAGGCGGGGGCACGCGGGUGGAAGGAAGCAGCACCAGGGCGCCGGGCUGGUCCUGCAUCGGAGACUAGAAGGGAGUCUGGUUCUGUCCCCUUGAACGGGGGCCGCAGCGUCUUCAUGCUGGAGUGCAGUAUGGGGAGCAGCACAGGAUCUUCUGACGGGGACAGCUUGGACUGUUCUCGGCCUACUGGCUGUAAAGCUCUGUGACCUUGAGAAAGUCGCAUGACCUUCCAGUUUAUAUCUCCUUCUCUGUAAGAUGAAGGUAAUGAAACCUGCCCCAAAGUGAGGUGCAGCACAGAGAUGUGAGGUCCUAAGGCUCACAGCAAAGCCCGGUUCACACUGCAGUCACCGGGACCAGGGCCUCUUGAGCCUCAGUCCAUUGCUCUUCUGCCCCCGACACGGCUGCCUGGAAAUGUUACUUCAGCCGGAAAGCUGGGGCAGGCAGCUCAUCUUCACCAUGUCUGGAUUCUAUUCUUGACCCCGGCUGACCCUGAGGACUACGGGCCAUGGCAUGGCUCUGUCUGGCUCCUUCUCGCCUCUUCUUUCAUGCUACGAAGUCAUUGAGGAGGAAGUCCACAAUAUGGGAAUUCAUGGUCGCGUGGCCACAGAGAUGGGGUGUCCCUCUGUUCCCAUCAAAGCCCAGCCUGCAGGUGGCAACCUCAGAGGCUAAAACCAGUGUCACAUGCUCUUCCACCAACCUAUGUUGAUGCCAAUCACGAAUUCCUUUUGCCUUAAUUGUUCUCUAUGAAAUUACCAUACGCAUUUCCACCUAGCGCUCAAGAAAGUGUGGUGUGGUGUCAUCAGUGUGGAAGGAUUUUUGAAGACUUCUGCAUGGCUCUGAGAGCACAGUGUGGUCCAUAUUAGAAUCUUUAGCUAAGACCAUAGCGAGAAAACAGAGCGCUCUCAUCAUUGGCAAGCUUAUCACGAGAGCUAUCUACUUCCACAUUAUUAUUUGGAGGAAUGAGUCUUGGAACCACUUACUCCUGGUUCCACUUAAUAGGUACACAGAUGACCCUCUGCAAGCCAGCUCUGGGAGCCCUUCCUGACCAUGUCCAUCUUCCUGUCCCUGGGAGGCUCAGAUUGAAAACAAGAAACAACAGGAGGUAAAAGCAGCUUUCAAGAGGCUCCAGCAGGAGCUGGGGGACCAGCGGCCCCUCCUGCUGGCCAGGCUGAGGAAGCUGGAGCAGCUGACCUGGAGCAGGAGUACAUCAGGAAGGUCUCAGAGGAGGUCGCCUGGCUUGGAGCCCAGGUCAAGGAGCAGGAGGAGAAGUGUCAACAGCCAGCAAGUGAGCUUCUGCAAGUGAGACCCAUCACCCAUGGGAGAGCAGAAGGGUUCCAUGGGCAGGGCCCAUCCGGCGGACUGCCAAAUGCUGGUGAGAGGCAGGAGAGGGAAGCUCAGGCUCCCUCUAGUGGGAGGGAGGGGUGGUUCCCUGACCCCUCUGGCCCAGAGUGGUGGGACACACACUGUGGGCGCAAGGGCUCUGCAGUCAGACAGCCCUGGGUUUGGUGUUGACUUUUCCAAUUAUGUCACCUGGGUGAGUCUCUUAAUCUCUAUUAGCAAUGGGGAUAAUAAUAGCAUUUUUCGUAGGGUUGUUGGAAAUGGUAUGAGAAACAAGCUGUGUAAAACGCUCACCCUGAGUGCCAACAAAGGAACGCUCACCCUGAGUGCCAGGGUCACGCUGGGUCCAGCUACGAACUCAAGACUGGUCCCUGCUCUUCACGGUCCCCAGGAAAGUGCUGAGACGGGGAACCAGCACAAAGGAGCUGGCUUUGUAGUCCAUACGAGCAAGGAAACAUGACGUGAAGGAACAGUUUCAUGAGUAGAUAGUUAAGUAGAUAACUUUCUGGGGGAGGAGAAUUUUGAGCCGAUGUUUUAAAGGAAGAGAUGUUCAGAAUCCCCGACAGGAAGGACACGCGGAAACUAAGUGCACCUUCUUCUCUCUCUUUCCUAGCACGUCAGAGGCCACCAGAGCAGGUAGGGCCACUUCCCCUCCUGCCUGCGUGAUGCCUGUCCCUGUCCCUGAGGCACUGACUGCUCCCUGCUCCCCCGUGGGUGGCCGUCUGGAAGAGCGAAGCCCUCAGACACCAGCCCCUCACACACUAAUGAGCUAAGCUCCCUUAAGAUUCGUGUUCUAAAGGCUUACUUUCAAACUGAUGGGUUGGUAUUGGGGACACAUAUUUUCCUCCUAGAAGUGAAGUUAUAAUUAAUAGUCAUGGUUUUAGGCAGAGCCAGGGACACCUUUAAUCCAUGCAAUUAUUAGUAUUUGCGUCAGUGCCUGACACCAUUUGAAAUGUACUUGAGGACAUAUUUUCAGGAGCUCGUGAUAAGCACGGAGGCCAGGAACCCACCUUGUCCACUCCCUCCUCCCGCCCCACUCCACCUCCCGUCUCUUCAGAGCCUCCCAGGGCUGCCUUGAGCGGACAGCCCCCCGGCAGGGAGGCUCUGUAGACGCGUGCCCUGUCCUUUCCUCGCUGCUGUGUGCAUGAGCAGCCUGCGCUGAGGUGAGAGGAGACAACGACAGGGCCCUGUGCUCUGCGCGCCGCUCUCGGGGCCAGGGAGGCAGUGUCUGCAAACACGCUUUCCAGGGCUGCCAGAGGGUCCGCUGAAGCUGGGGAGGCCAGUGACUAAGGGGACUGAGCUCGUGCUAACUGAGACACUGGCAAGUUAUGAAGUUCUUCAUCCCGUAUCUAAAACCUGAAGAAAAUAACAGCUGUGAGCAUUAAAUAAAUCAGAGCAUGCAAAGAGCUUAGUAUCAUAACUGGCACAUAGUAAA